UACGGAGGGGACUAGCGUUGUUCGGAAUUACUGGGCGUAAAGCGCACGUAGGCGGAUUUGUAAGUCAGGGGUGAAAUCCCGGGGCUCAACCUCGGAAAUGCCUUUGAUACUGCAAAUCUCGAGUCCGGAAGAGGUGAGUGGAAUUCCUAGUGUAGAGGUGAAAUUCGUAGAUAUUCGCAAGAACACCAGUGGCGAAGGCGGCUCACUGGCCCGAUACUGACGCUGAGGCACGAAAGCGUGGGGAGCAAACAGGG
rnacentral:rRNA from 1 species